UCUUUGCUAGUAUAUCGGUUUAGUACACGCGCCUGUCAACGUCUUAUUACCUUGACGCGCGAAAGCUGGGUUCGACUCCCAGGCAGAGAG